GCAGGGAGGAUUUGAACAAAACAGGACAAGAGGUUUCUUCAAAAUUCACAAUGUCCUGAUUCAUGAUCAUAUUGAAUUGGAAGAGGGUCUUGACUGAGGCUUGGUGGAAAAAUAUGACAUUUUCGUUAAAGACAAAAUUAAAUUGCAUAUCUGGGCUGCGUCCUUUUCUGUGGUCCCGUUUCUCCGUGACUCAUAAAAAACCUGUGGAGGAUCACGCCCCUACUGUAUGGUAUGUAUGAAAAUAACAUGUACCGAAGUUUGGAGGGCUCUGAUCAAAAGGGGACGUAGGGAUCCCCAUAGUUCGAUAACAUCAUUAGAGGGCUCUGUCGAUACCCUCUUCAUGUGAAUGUGUUGAACAUUGUCAAUAAUAAAUUUUCUCUAAUAAUUUUUAA